AGCAAUUUUAGUUAAAGCGACAACAAGAAAUGGACAACGUAUUCAUCUAUUUGAAAAAUAUCAGCAAAAUAUGAAUAGGUAUAAUAUAGAGCUAUUUCUGUAGGUUAAGGUCUAGGUGAAUAGCGAUCGCAUAGAAAUAAAUAGUACAAAAGAUUUAAUACAAGCGGAAUAGUAGAGGAUUUUUUAAUCCUAACUAAAACAGGAAAAAAAUCAGUCAGUCACUUUAGAUUUCAGUGUUUUUACCUACCUACAAUUUUACUGAUAAUUAUUAAUCAACGUUAGAUCGACUUUUCGUAGAUUGUUUAUUAUAUGGUGGAAAAGAAUACCAUAUAGAUACUGCGUAUUCGCCUGCUUCAUUUUAACUUACUGUUUUAGAUAUGAUAGAAGUGUGAUUAAACUGAUCUAAAGGUUUAUAUUCGAAGUUAUUGAUUAAUUUAAAGGAUUGAUCACCGUCAAAAAGGAGAGAUAAACUAAGGAUAAAAGAACAUUCUAAAAUGGAAGAAAAUGAAAACGCCAGGGCACUUUUGCAAACUGUACUCAUACCCUAUGGCUGGUUAACUUAUACUGAAAGGGAAAGAGUGGAUGCAUUUGUAAUGUCUAAUUGGAUACGUGUAUGCGAAGCAAUGAAUAUGAACUGUCUGGAAAUAGAGGCGUUGGAAGGCACUACUCAUGACAGAAAUGGAAAAAUUUUUUCUAAUAAGGCUAGAAAGGCGAUGGACUAUUUUUUGAAUCGAUUUAAAGAUACGAGUUUAAAUAAACUUUACGAGAUCUUCCAUGAGGCUGGGAUUCAAGUUGGUUGUAGUUAUUUACUUGAUUUAAUGUCGAAAAAAUUUAUCGAACACCAAGAAGAAUUAAAAAAAGCAAAAGAACUGGAGGAUCUAGCUUUGAAACAUCAUGGUACAACAAGUUCAAACGGCUUUGACAAUCAGCAAAAGUUUCUUCCAAAAAAGCCAAUACAUAAUUGUCAGACUUCUCCCUGUAGCAUUGCUAUGGAAUGUGAAGACAAUAAUAAGUGUAGAUAUUCUCUAGGCAUAAACUCUUCUUCAGCUAUGCGCAAUGAUUCCUCUCAAACUUAUACUGAAGAAACUAGUAUGGAAUAUGAUGACUCUCAUAGUAGACAACUAUCCCACAUGAAUUUUGACCAUUACGAAGAGAGAAAUAUAAGAACGAAUGGAUUACGCAUGAAUAAUCUUUCCAAUGCCAUGGAUUGUCAAAUGACAAACCAGACCAUUGAAUCACAAUCUUGCAACUCUACAGUUGUUUCCAAGAACGUCAUUUUGCCAGAAGAUUUAAGUAAAAUUUUUGCUAGACCUGGAUACAAUACAGGAACGUUUCCUAAUGCUUCUAAGAAAAGUAAGAAGACAAAUUUACCUAAACCAAUAGGUUUAGCUACGAAUACUGAAUCCCUUCCUAGUGAUUAUUGUCUUUCUCAACGAACCACAUUCAGGGACUUGUCGAAAUUUCGAAGUCGCGUCUUAAUUGCCUAUGACUCUUCUGAUAAAAAGAAUAUUGAUAAGAUAACAAAUAUUGCAUGUUGGCUUAUAAAAAACAAGUUUAGGGUUGAAUUUGAUGAUUUUAAACAAGACUUAGUAAAAGAAAAUCGAGAUUGUUGGAUGUGGAAUGUUUAUAAACAGGCUCCGUUUGUAUUACUAUGCAUAACUCCAUCAUUUGAGAGGAAUUUACUAGAAGGAAAAGAUACCUCUGUACAGAAAAUAUGGAAUGAUAUUGAAGAGAGAUUAAAAAAAGAUCCAUCAAAUAGAGAAGGAAAUUCAAUCGUUCCGUUGUUAAUAUCGCCAACAAAACGAGUUCCACCCAUCUUAAAAACAAUAGUCCAUUAUAAAUGGAAAGAGGAUUGGCAGAGCCUAUCAUUCUUUCUAUCAGCCCCAUAUAAACUCCCAAUAAAUAAAGAUAGUAAAUCUUAUUCGAUUCCAUAGAAUCUACCGAGCUAAAACACAGAGAAUAUAGCAGAUGUAUAUAGUAAAAGUGCGGAUCGGAUCAUUUUUCAAUUUUUAUUAUUUUUUAUUUUUAAUUGUUGCUCAAAAUGAAAUCUUAUACGUAAAGAUAAGCUAAUUGUCUAUAUAUUAAUAUACUAAUACACGCAGGCAUUACUGGUUUGUUUUUGCGUGCAAUUUGUUUAUUGUAUUUGAUGUGAGAAUCUUCAAAGAAUAUCUUAUUUUUAAACAAUUAUAAAUCUGUACAUAGAUAAAUUUAUGGAGUAGUACGCUUAAAGGUACGUUCGUUGUUUUUUAUGGUAUAUUCUAUAUAGAGUAUAUGUUUGCAU
rnacentral:misc_RNA from 1 species